rnacentral:lncRNA from 1 species
GCAGGAGGAGGAGAAAGAUCGAGCCGGUUUGCAGGAAAUUCUGGGAAGUUCAGGAAGCGCCUGGCGGACACUGACUGGCAGGGAGUCUGUUAGGGUUGCAUCGUUGGGAGGCACCAGCAGCAGAGAGCUGGCUGAGCAGAGAACGGAAAGUGAAAAGGCAAAAUUUUCAAGAACCAAACCCCGGCGAUGCUUCCCACGUAGGGGACUGAGAAAGAAAAGGUGGUGGAGGAAAUCAGUAAACGAGGCAGGCGUCCGCGAAGAGCAGGACUGAGAGGCAGGCGUGGCCAGAGCAUCCGGUCUCAAAGAGGAGGCCUAGGAGCGACAGUGAGCCAGGCCACGCGAAGCCCUGAGAGCUGGGCACCCCGGGGAGAAGCUCCGGGCCACGCACCAGCUUCAGGCUGUGUAGGCAAAUUCGGGACCGUUUUUCUCACUCGUUUACUGCUGCUUCCCUCGGCGGCCAGUUAUGAUCAGUAAAUUAGCUGAGGCUGCCCAAGAAGUUCGUUCAAUCAUUCUUUUAUUCGGUUCCUAAAGUAACUGAACCCUCUGCUGGGUUCUCGGGACACGGACGUUAUUAACACCUGGUCUCCGUCUAGAACACGCUCUGGGUCAUCAGCACGUUGACCGUUAAGGGACACAACGCAGACUUCAACACCACGAACUCCACACCAUGGACACGGAAGACUUUUCGCUCCUCCUCUUCCCUGAGACUCUGACACUGGAUUUCAGCGCAUUGCUGGCCAACUCCAGGCUUUCGCUUCAAACUGCAUCCCCGCUGGAGACAGAUCCUGAGCGCUCCUUGUUCAGGGCUGAACUCGGAGCCUCCUUCUUACUCCCGGUGCCAACAUGCAGCCCAAGCACCCAGGUCACCGCGCUGUUUGCAUCUUUGAUAGGUUCUGCUCUCCGGCCGAGCACUUUAUGUGCCUGUAAAAACAAACUGGGGC